rnacentral:rRNA from 1 species
UACGUAGGUGGCAAGCGUUGUCCGGAAUUAUUGGGCGUAAAGCGCGCGCAGGCGGCCUUUUAAGUCUGAUGUGAAAGCCCACGGCUCAACCGUGGAAGGUCAUUGGAAACUGAAAGGCUUGAGUACAGAAGAGGAAAGCGGAAUUCCACGUGUAGCGGUGAAAUGCGUAGAGAUGUGGAGGAACACCAAUGGCGAAGGCAGCUCGCUGGGACGUGACUGACGCUGAGACGCGAAAGCGUGGGGAGCGAACAGG